GACGAACGCUGGCGGCGUGCCUAACACAUGCAAGUCGAACGGAAGUAAGAGCUUCGGUUUUUACUUUAGUUGGCGAACGGGUGAGUAACGCGUGAGGAACCUGCCUUUCUAGUGGGGGACGAACAGUUGGAAACGACUGCUAAUACCGCAUAAUGUUUCCGAUCCGCAUGGAUUGGAAACCAAAGCUUUAUGUGCUGAAAGAUGGCCUCGCGUCUGAUUAGAUAGUUGGUAGGGUAACGGCCUACCAAGUCAACGAUCAGUAGCCGGUCUGAGAGGAUGAACGGCCACAUUGGGACUGAGAUACGGCCCAG
rnacentral:rRNA from 1 species